UCCAGGAAGCGGUCCGGGAGUAUUAUCACUAUCCCGGUGGAAAGACAGAAGUGCAGGCUUCUGAUUUGGUCUUUCGGGUGAAAGACCAGUUUUCAUUUGAAAACCCCUUUGGAAGUUUGCAUUCAGGACUUGAGUGCCCACUGAGCACAAGGUAUCAAGAUGCAUUCCUCAAGGAGGGAGACCUUUUGUUUGGCUGAAAUGAGGGAAUUACAGGUGGAAGAAGGCC